AUCACUUAAUUUCCCGUCUUUAUCUGAAUCUACCUUUUGAUCUUCGGAAACGUCAUCUUCUUCAACAUCCUUAAAGACCUCUUCCUCAUCUCCAUCAAAGUCAUGGAUUUCAGCAUUUGUAAACAUAGAACGCAAUGCUGUCGUGGCGAUAACAAGUUGGUGCAUCACAUGAAAUAAUCCAGUGACUAAAGGAGGUUGCUGCCACGCUGAGACCUGAACCAUUCUUUUUAUAAAUGCUCGAACACGUGGAAUGUUGUUGUCUAUAAUAAGUGACUUAUAAAGUAAAUUCAGAUAAAGAGACUGUUUCGACGACGUUGUUAGACGUGGGUCAAGUAAUGAUUCGUAAAGGCUUUUAUAAUAACGGUCCGAAAUGAA